GAAGAGCCUCCUUCUUUACCACUUUAGGGGAUGGGGGUGAAGGGGGGUUUACAUACAACCGGGGCAAAGUGGUUUAUGAUUGAAUCUCAGAGGCAUUCUUAUCAUUUGGUAGAUCCAAGUCCAUGGCCUAUUUCGGGUUCACUCGGAGCUUUGGCAACCACCGUAGGAGGUGUGAUGUACAUGCACUCAUUUCAAGGGGGUGCAACACUUCUCAGUUUGGGCCUAAUAUUUCUCCUUUAUACCAUGUUCGUAUGGUGGCGGGAUGUUCUACGUGAAUCCACGUUGGAAGGGCAUCAUACAAAAGCUGUACAAUUAGGACCUCGAUAUGGUUCUAUUCUCUUCAUAGUCUCGGAGGUUAUGUUCCUUUUUGCUUUUUUUUGGGCUUCUUCUCAUUCUUCUUUGGCACCUACGGUAGAGAUCGGAGGUAUUUGGCCCCCAAAAGGGAUUGGGGUUUUAGAUCCUUGGGAAAUCCCUCUUCUUAAUACCCCUAUUCUCCCUUCAUCCGGAGCUGCCGUAACUUGGGCUCAUCAUGCUAUACUCGCGGGGAAGGAAAAACGAGCAGUUUACGCUUUAGUAGCAACCGUUUUACUGGCUCUAGUAUCCACUGGCUUUCAAGGAAUGGAAUAUUACCAAGCACCCUCCACUAUUUCGGAUAGUAUUUAUGGUUCUACCUUUUUCUUAGCAACUGGCUUUCAUGGUUUUCAUGUGAUUAUAGGUACUCUUUUCUUGAUCGUAUGUGGUAUUCGCCAAUAUCUUGGUCAUCUGACCAAGAAGCAUCACGUUGGCUUUGAAGCAGCUGCAUGGUACUGGCAUUUUGUAGACGUGGUUCGGUUAUUCCCAUUUGUCUCUAUUUAUUGGUGGGGAGGUAUAUGAAAGAAGGGAACGAAUAAGUGGAUUGAGGAAUAAAAGCUCGAAGACAAAGAGAACUUUAAGAGAAUGGAAUCCUAUUUAAUAUUAGCAAUUCACAUAUAAUCUUAAAUAACGAUCAUCCUCCUCUGUGUGCAAAACGAAGCUGCCGUAGGUAGUUGUAUUAUUAUGGAAUUGUGUUUUGAUUCCUAGUUUAUAAACGUUGUAAGGUAACGUUUCUCGUUGGUAGUAGUUGUUGUUGGUUAUAAACGUUAGUUGUUGUGAAGCAUAUGAGAAUAUGCCUGGUUUUGGGUAAUAUCUUAAGAGGUGCAACGUUCUCCGUGGGUGUUGGUACGAGUGUGGUUUUUCACAGGUCCGGAGACAAGAAAAGAGCCGAAUUAGUGUAGGAAUGGAGAUUUCUACUUUCCGUAGUUGGGUUCGAACCUGAAGAUGGUUUUGUGGUGUCUGCUUCGUCUCUAGAUUAUGCUUCGUCUCCAGAAUCCCUACCCUAAAGAGUGAAAUUGCGUAGCUUAAGGUAGGUGUUUCCCCAAUCCGCGCAAAAUAAACGUAAGGGCUGUCUAUUGGUAAUAGAAUUGAAAGGGUAGAAGGUAUCAACCCCUCGGCAUUGUUGGAGAAGUUUAAGUGGGAGUAAGCAUUGCCCCCUUACUUGUUCGUUGUCUAUCUGUUCUACUAACCUAACCUGAUGUCUACCUGUAGAAAUCUAUACUCGUUUGAACUACUCGAUUGCUAUUUUUUUGUCUUUCCUUUACUAAUACUAACUACUAAUAACGUGCGUGGAAUAACGAGUUUUAUUUUUUGGUCUGCUGAUUGAAAGAGGAGUGUUAAAGCAAUUCGCUUACGAAAUCACAGUCCAAAGCAAAGCAACUACUUACUGGUUUAGCUCGUGUUUUCCUUUUUGAAGUAGUUUGGCAGACGCAUCGAUUGUUCGUGGCUGGUCACACGGCUCCGGUGCAUCGGGCCACUCUCAAUUGUGUGGUUCCGAAAAAACUAGGGCUCUUCUCGUAUGAGCAGGCUUAUCAACCACUCAGAAUAGGGAGCUUCCAGCGGGAAGUCCAGCUUUGGGACGUUGCCCCUCCCUCGGAUGAAAAUAGAUCUCGUGGAGACGGGCUUGACAAAAGUCAGUUAGCAAGCGGGUGUUCCAUAAAAAAAAAUAAACUAGGAUUCUCGGAUGAUUCAAGCUUUUUCAAGAGUGAGUAAGUCUCCCUACUCAUCGGAAAAUUAACACUCUGAGGCGCUUAUUCCUAUUCCCACUUGAAAAUCUACAGCCCAGUGCUCCGCCGUAACUUUAGUUAGGUCAAGCCUGCUUUCCGCACACUCUGUCAUGUCCUCACUUCAACCCCCAUUCUUUAGGCACCGUAAUUUCGCUGCUUCUUUCUUCUUCCAACCAGACAAAACGUAUGGAUCGCUUCCUGCUUCCUUUCUUUGGAGAGAAUGGGCUACGGCACCUACAAGAGCAUAUGCUCGGGCAUCCAUCCAAUUAUGGAAUAUUCAGGCCAGCAGUAAACGAAUGAAGACAAUGUCAAAUGUCAGUGGUCAUCAUCCCUAUAAGAAAUAUGGGGAAGCUUUGUACGCAAUCCAAGCAAGUCAAGCAGGGACACUGAAUCGGUAAAGAAACCAGCCUAAAGAGUAUGUAUUCACACUGGUACAGAACAUAGAUCAGAUCGUAAGGGAUAGAGGGAUGCAAUAAUAAAGAAAGAUCUUGAUUUUAUCUUUCCUUCCUUCCUGCUUAGGAAAGUUCGAGUUGCCGGGCCUCAGAGCCAAUUCCUUAAGGAAAAUCUGGUUUCUUACUUUAUUUGUGUGGGGACCCAUAUUUCAAUAUGUUCAAUUAACCUCACACCGGACUUUGUCACUUUGAAGCUCUAAGGUAUCUCGUACAAAUACGCAGGAGUCAGGACUCAUCUAACUACUCUUUCAACUAUCCCUACUCUUACUUAAACUGUCCCCCUAAGAAGUCAUCAAAUGGUAACACGAUGCCGGGUGUGGCAGGGAUCGAAAAAAAAGCAUUAGCUCAUUCGCAGAGAGAGAAUGAGAGAAGGUGGAUAAUGGUUAGGGAUGUAAGUACUAGAGUUUGGUAGGUUUGAAUUGUGUGGCCAGGGGUAUUGGUUACGAUUCCAGUGGUCUUCAGGCGAGUUGACAAAACUACCCCUAUGCGAAAAGAAUGAAGCUGAUGUGGUUGUUCCAAUUUAUGAAAUUGACUUGCUCUUCUCUCGAUUGAACCAUUGCAACCAAGGAUUGAAAAAAACUUCUAUUUACUCGAGUUUCCAUGUGAUAGAUUUUUCCUACGGAAACGUUUCCUUUUUUGUUAGAAACCCAGCUCUUUCCUUUCCCUUCCUGACCAUGAAACAGGCUAGCGCCUUUUAUGAACUCUUAUCCAAAAUCUCUCAUCAAUCAAAGUCUGUUCCUUCUACUGCACCUCAAGCACCUCCGGUUCAGGUCUUUUAUGAUUGUGACCAAUUUCCUGGCCCGUUGGAAGGCCAAAGCAGCCCAAGUGAUUGAUCUCUCCCCAGAAAAGGAACAAGUUCGGAUAAUGAUGAAUAACAUGAGUAGGCAAUACCAUGACUAUUUCUAUUUCCAAGCGAUGACCACGCUCUUUGAUUGAAGCAGCCACUCGUAUUGAAGAUGCUAUCUACAAUGGGAUGGGACUCAUGGAUCACAGGUCAAAGAGGCAGAUCCAAAAGGAAAGAAGAUAGCCCUGGGGGGAACAAGCAAGAACAGUGAAGUGAAUAUCUUGUCUGACGGAAAACCAAAGACACUCAGGACUUUCACUCCGUUCGGCAUAACUCUCAGCCGCGCCUUGGAAAAUAAGCUUAAGAAGCAUGCUGUACUUCCUCCUGCCAAUAUAAACAUGAUCGAGCCAACAUUGUCGAGUUGGUAGUCUCUGACUCCCUCCUUAUUACGCCAGCCGGAGAAAAGGGAGAAACCGAUGGUAGAGACAUGACUGGAAUCCAGGAGACUGACGAGAUUGAGCCCCCCUAUCGUAAGAAUAGAACGCGAAGCCAGGUUGAUUGAUGCCGAUGUAGUGCAUAUUCUCGUAGGAGAUGAUAGUUUCAUCACGAGCGAGAAUCUCCCACCAUCUGCUAGAUCUUGUUCUUGGUUCUGUUGGCUACUCUCUGGUGGGGCCCACCCUAUGUUGUCCCAGUGUGUAAACUUGCCUAUGAUGGGGUAUUGAUGCAAUAAUACAUGAGGGCCGAUGUAAUUGCAUCAUACUCAAGAGGAUGAGGAGGUCAUCUAAACCCUAAUACCUAAGUAGGAUAAGACAAUCUCUUUUAUCCCUAAGCAAUUUUAUUGAUAGAAUAUAGCCUGGUAAGCACUAACCUUGUCAGCAAGCUGAAUAACCUAUCCCUAAUAAGCUAGCCCUAGUGAGUUCUUGAAAGUAAGGCAGUAGUCUCUAAGGACGAGCUUUGACCAGUAGUGAAAGUGAAAAGCGAAUAAGAAUUGAUUUCUUAACUUAUCUUUUUUCAAGUAAGAGUCUACUCUACUCUACAUAGUAGGCUAGAACUAGGGCUCUACGGCUGGCGUCCACUUGCAAAGGACCAAUUCGACUCUGAGUUGUCGUAAAGAAAAUCCUUUGGCACUUUCAUGCGUGAUGGGUUGAAGCCACUCCAUAUAAAAGCGUUGUCAAGUAGGCAAGGUGUGGAAAGUAAGCUGCUUCUUCUAUCAAAGAGAUAAAUAGGGCAUUCCUUCCAUGCCUAUUCUUCAAUGGAAGGUGCUCCAUCCUCCUUAGAUGUCACCAGCCCUGCCUGGGCGAGGGAGGGAAGAGAUGGCUAGUAGGGAUUUAAGAGCAGUAAGGCGAGCUAUCGUUGUAAAGAAGAAAGUGUCUUUCAAAACUUUUUCUUCCAAAAGAAAAGUACUACUUUCGUUUUGGUGAUUGAAUGAGGAAAUAGGGAAAUGAACUCUUUAGUUUAAUGAGCGUGCUCGAACCGACUAAAUAGAAAAACCAUGUUUACGAAAAAUAGUAAUUUUAUCUGGCUCUUUUUCCUGUACUAACUCGAAUAAGCGGUGGAUCACUAUGCUUUGGCCGUUUUUUUUUUCAACAAAAGCAGUGCGAAUCUAUGAGUGAAAGCUCGAAGAAAGGGCACAGGGUCUCUAGUCUGGAAAGCGAAUCAGCCCUUAUGGGGAUGCACGCUACGGAAUAAAUCCCGUUUGCCUUUCUGAAGAUAUAUUUCUUACUUCUAGAGUGAAAAGUUUUUCACUACUUUAUCUUUAUCUUUAUCACAUGUUGUAAUGUAUUGUAAAGCAUCUUGGAAAGCCCUUGAUAUGCUUUCUUCCUACUUGCCCGCAUCAGAGCAAGCAGAGGUGGAAACAGCAAAGUCAAAGGUCAGAUAUAGCCUUCCCGCGCGGGAUCGCCCUAACUAGUCAUAAUGGUAUGCUGGGUAUCGAUGUCUUACUUAAGCUGGUGGAACGUAGUGAAGGAGAGCUUCCUUUCUCUCUCUCUAUGAAGCUAUAGAUCAUCUAUCGGAGAAAUAGGUCUUGCUGCCUCCUUUCCUUCUCCAGCUUCGGUCUCGCUCACGGAUCUCAAGAGACUAAGAAUCACGAAUGUGCUUAGGUCCCUCCUCACACUCUUUGUAGUACCUCCAGUCUCCUCUACUAAAUCAUUCUCUUCAGCAGUAUCAGGUGCCAAGGAAUCCUUGUAUUCGGUAAAAAAGCUAUGCUAAGAAUCAGCAUAUCCCUUGCGCAAGCAAGAGCGAUUUAUUAAAUAAAUCAAGGAUUCUUGUUAAAUAUAAGAAAUCAAAGUAUUACACGCCAAUAUCCCUUUUAAUCUAUAAUCAGGGGAUUCAUUCUUACUAUAAGUGUUAUGAGAUCAAGUAGGCAUGAGAUAGAGGGUUUUGGUUGUAGCAGAAGCACCCUUCUUGGUUCUCCGUGCUAGAGUAUCACUACGUUUGGCUUCAUUUGUCAACCUUCUAAUCCCUUGUCCUAUAAGGGAAGGGAUUAUACCAUGUGGCCUGCUAUUCUAUCUUAAGGGGAAACCACUCACUCUCUUGACUAUCCUCCGUAAGGAGAUUUGUAUGAAUGAAGCAUCAACCAAUGUUAAUAGCCAGUUGUUGGAUCAGAAUAAACUACCCCAGUUCAGUCUUCUUUCCUCGUUCGGAAUAGAGAUCCAAUACCUGCUUUCAUAGAGCGGCAAUAGCGAAGUACUCUUAAGAUAAGAAGCAUCUCGAUGCGAUGCCAAAACUCCUCUACAUGCGCGCGGUAUGAAGAUCGAAGUAGCUCCUAGUCUAAUGGAAGCCCGAGAUCUUGAUCCUAACCUACUCGUCUAUGGUCCGGUAGACUUGUUGGCCACUUUGUGAGGUGCUACCUUUGAUGCCAAGGAUUAUCGACGAUCUGCUCAUACUCAUGGUAUAGCUGCUGAUGCUAAGUCUAUCUAUGUAGUGGAUGUAAAGAAGCAAGUCGCACAACACUUCUCUAGUCUAUCUAAUGCUGGUGCAGCUUAUGGAUCGGCAGAGCACUAUGCGACAAAAGUUCGGGCGAAUCCGUGACACUAAUGAAGUCAUGGAUAACCUGAACGUACAAAUCUGCACCAGCGCGUAAUUCCGAAAUACAUAUCCUGAUGCUGGUGAUACAUACGAUCUCUCUGAUGGCCCGAGGUGAGGGUUGUAUAUAGUUAGCCCUAUAUGUAUCCUCUCAGGUAUCUCCCUCCCCAUACCUAUACAGACAUAGACUACCUAGAGUUAGAGUAUUUGGGUAUUGCUAUCCCUACGCAAUGUGUUGACUCGGUUUCCUUCCUGUGGUCAUUGCUCUGGUAAUCAAACAUUAACAUGACACUCUCUAUCGUACUCUUUCUUCUCGGUAUCCUAGGAUUCGUCCUCAACCGAAAGUAGAUAGAUCAUCCUCAUGCUGAUCUCAAUUGAAAUCAUGCUGCUAGCUGUGACAGUACUAGUGAUUGUAAGCUCAUUCUCAUUCGAUGAUAUCGUAGGACAAACAUCUAGUAUCUACAUCAUCGCUAUUGCAGGUGCAGAAUAAGCUAUAGGUAUAGGUAUUCUUGUAGCAUAUUACCGUCUACAAGGAGAAAUUUAACUAAGCUAACAUGUAUCGUCCUUCGGGCCCUAGGGUCUAUUCUGACUCUCCCUAUGCUAGGUGCAAUGGGUGCAGGACUCCUUGGACGUAAGGUAAGAAAAACUGGUGCACAUAUUAUUACUUGUGUAGCUAUGUGUACAACAGCUCUCCUAUCUUACGUAGCAUUCUAUGAAGUGGGUCUAUCAGGAUCACCUGUAUCAAUUCGACUUGGUAGCUGAAUCGAUUCAGAAUGGCACAGUUGACUGAGGAUUCCUAUUCGAUAGCCUAACCGCUCAUCGAAGACCUCGCUGUAGUAACUGUAUAAGCACUAGUACACAUCUUCUCGUUAAGCUAUAUGAUAUGGCAGGAGAUACACACAACCAACGAUUCUUCUCAGACCUCUCUAUGUUAACAUUCUUUAUGCUUGUGCUCGUAGCUGGGGACAACUACCUAAUUAUGUUCCUAGGUUGAGAAGGUAUCGGGGUAAGCUCAUACCUACUAAUCAACUUAUGAUAUACACGACUCCAAGCUAACAAGUCUGCUAUUAAGGGCGGCCCUUACUGUGAACCUAGUAGGUGACACAUUCCUUAGCGUAGGAUUCUUUGCUAUGCUAUUCCUAUUCGGUAACCUAGACUAUGCAACAGUAUUAAGUAUCGUAUACUAAUGAAUAUGCACUGACAAUCACUGGACUACUAUUCCUAUUGGAACCAUCCAUUGCGAUGUCUGCCUGAUCGAACUCGCCCUCGGAGGAAAAACUCUCCUCUUUCCACUCAAGUAUGUUGCACCGUAUCUGGUGUGGUAUCCUCUCUUUUGAUAUUUAUGCUUACGAAAGCCCAUAUUGUAAAUAAAGAGCACUUCUUCCUUAUCCUUAUCCUUAUCCUUAGUAGCUUGAUUGCUGUUACACCUGUACUGCGGAUCUUUACUAUACUAUGGCAUUGGUCAAUUGAAAUCGUAAGAGGUUGAGAAGAUCCUUUUCUCAUCUGAUGCUUUGUUGUUUGCUCCGAGACUCAUAAGAGGUGAAAGAACACAAUGUUACUACCGGAUUUCAAGUGAGUGUACCGGUCUUGUCACUACAGAUGGUAGUUGCCGAACCCAUUGUUGAACACGCAGCCUUCUUACCGAGAAAAAACAAAAUGCUAGUUCUAACGAACAGCGUUUGUCCCAUCGACGAAGGCUAAUGAGACUUGCCUUUCUUUGCCCUUGAUUCUACUAUAGAUAUAGAUAUAGAUAUAGAUAUAGAUAUAGAUACGGUGCUGCAAAUUCGCAAGCUGAUCCUAAUCCUAAGUAUAAGUCAAAGUAUAAGUCAAAGUAAAAUCUUUGUCUCAAACCAUCCCAGCAAGAGGAUGCGCCUAGCGCUAGUUGCUCAAUCCCUUGCUUGUUUGUUUUCAUAAAAAGAAUGGUUCUUUUAUGCAAUUAUGAACGGGCAGGCCUCUUGUGGAUUCCUCCAACUCCAUGAAUGAAGGGGGGAGUAUGAGGAAGGCCGAUUUUCUUUCUAUAUGAAGAUGAAAAAAGGAUCAGGGUCAAACAUUUCUGACUUUUGUUGAGUAUGACUGAAUGAGGAAGAGCUCCUUAUGUGGUAUCACUUUACCACCAUCUGAAAUGCGCGAAACUCCGAUUGGUGGAAGCCAGUCCAUGAAGAUUCUCCCUUCUCUUACGUGAAAUUCCCCUCUUUCGGUAAGCAUCCAGUAUCUCAGCAAAUGAACAUUUCUCUAAGCUUAUCCUGUAGCUUAUACGUCGUUUGAAAGCUGCUCCAAGGAUCCAACGAAUAGCUAAGGUUUGUUGACGAUCCCUGGCUACAAUCCCAGGAACAUCAUAAAUAGUACCUGCGACUCCUACUUUGACCACUUCGCAUAUUGGCUUUAUAUUAUCUACGGCGUCAACCAUAAGUUUGAUUACAUCGCGUUCAGUUCGAGCUAGGCGGUGAAAAGUUUUAUAAACAAUAGCACGAACUCUCGUUCUUUUACCAUCGAUCAUGCGAAAGUUUACCAAUUUCUUGAUCAAUUCUUUUUGCUCACCAUCAAAGUCCCCCAUAUAGCUGAGAAUUUCCGAGCAAUUGGAAGCCGCUUUCGAUGACGAGGCCGAUAAAUUGAUAUUACGCGAUCGUUACUGUCCAUCUUUUUCAGCUCUGCUCCCAAAAGAGAAAGGAGACUUAAAGAUCAAUAUGUGGGCGUAGGUUUUUCCAACGAAACGAAAAAAAGAACAUUCGAACAAAUAGACUUGAUUCCAUGACAAAACAAAAUGCUAGUUCUAACGAACAGCGUUUGUCCCAUCGACUUUACUUUGGCCAAUGAUACUACUACUACUAUAUACUAUAUACUAUAUACUAUAUACUAUAUACUAUACGCGUUUUCUGAGGAGCAACAUGAGACUUGAUUUUCCGUUGGUUUUUCUAUUUUCUAACGAAAGUAUUAAUUAAUAUGCAGGAUAAUAUAAAUGGUUGGUUUUGUUCAAUACUUAGGUAUAGGUAGGGCUGACUACGCCACCUCAGCAGCUGGGACUGGAAUUGCUUACAAUGCAUCUGGCCACUGACUGAAUUCGAAGUAGGGCCAGUGUAUAAAGACCGGCUUAUCUCUCUUAAGACUUAGUCCACUUUCUACUAGAAUCAGAUUUUCUAGUUUGCAAGCAGGUGUGCCAGCUGUAACAAAAACUUACGGCUUAGGUGGAUUUCUUUAGUCAGUCUAUAACUCAGGCUUUUCUUUAUAGGACUCCCACACAAGUAAGUAGCUAGCUAGCUGGUAUUGCCAAAGCCAAAAACACUGCUGCAUUCGAAAAGGCGAACCGCGCGGACCCGACUUCUUCCUUUUAUGCUGAAACUAGCCGCCGGGGGAAAAGAGCCCGGAAGGGUAAAAAAAACAACUAGAAGCCAUUGGGCUAUUACUGCUACAGCGAGAUAUUGCCUGAAAGAGUUAUCCCAAAAGAAGGUUCUUCUGAAACGAGUGCUCAAGCCAACAAGCAAACGUAUACUUGAUUUUCUUCUUUUCUUGCAGCAUUCCUAAACUCAAAGCUCUAUAUUCUAUUCUUACGCUUCCAAUAUUCUCUUCCAAAAGCAAUAGGUUGUCGACAGAAGUCAAUGAAGCAACGUUUGAAAGAAACAACACUUCUUUCUCAAUUUCCACUUUAGAUAGGAGAGUCUGGUCCUUAUAUGAAACUGGUAUGCCAAGUGGAAUUCUGAGUACGGUUGUAUAGGACUGCUUUCAAGAUAGCGAGCAAGACCUACUCUCCUGGAAUGGGGCUAGUCAAAAGAAGACACCUUGAUAAGGAUUUGCUAACCUCUGACUCCCUUUCACUUCAUAUUGGAAUAUAUGAAACUCUCAAAGAUGUGCUUUCACUUUGAUGACAAGAUUCUCAUCACGUACUUACUCUUACAUAGCUCAAUCAAUCUGCUAGAAAGCUCUGCUCAGAAUGAAUUUAUGGGGUAUUAGCCACAGCAAGUAUAAAAUAAGUUUCUUUGGAAAGCAAGAACGAAGUAGGCGAGGAAAGGCAUACAUAGGUCAGAAAAGUAUGCAUGGUCGUCACGGCACGGGUAAGGAUUCUCAUUCCAGCAUUCUUGGGUCUAGUUUUGUUUGGACUUGGGCUUAGAUGUAGUGGGUUCUUGGGCCACAGCUUUACCUAUCAAAACCUUCGAAGGAGCAUUAGUCUUUGACACAUCAAUCAACCCGGCGUAGGAGCAUGGGAUUUGGACACAUCAGCACCAAACCAGUUGUUGAAGUGGAGUAUGAGCUUCUAUCCAAUCGAAAGAAGAAGCAAAGGCUUUUCGGUAAAGUAUCCGUUUUUUAGUGGUCCUUGCAUUCACUCCUCCAAGGAGGUGGUAAUUCAUCCAUAGUACGUACGCCUAUCUAUGGAAAAGUUCUUUUGUUGCUUCAGCUGUCAACGCAUUCUCAGCCCCUGCAUAAUGUUUUUAUUAAUAAGCUCUCUAUCGGCCGAAAAGGUCUUCUUUAGACCAGCGGAUGGAUAAGGCUUAGUUUUGUGCUUUUCACCUUCCACCGGCUUCGAGGCAAAGAUAUCCGGGGCCCUAUUCUUAUAUUCACGUUAAUGAAUGGAUGGGUAGCACGGAAAAGUAAGUGCUAACAAGAUGAAAGGAUUGUCCAAUACACAUACAUACCAGUUAGAAGAGGGAAGGGUGGCCUCAGCUGUCGGAGCCAAGCAUCGGAUGUACUUCCUCGAUGAAAAGGCACUGGAUAGCGAUAGACGUACGAUUUCAAUCAAUUCUCUAGGGGCCCUGGAGAAUUGAUUGAAACAAGUCAAGUAUUGGCGUAGUCAUAUACAUAUAUCGUCCUUGGCUCGUAGGCGUAAUUCGUAUUCGUAUUUGUUAUUAAUUUCUUUACUACGUCGUAGGAAUAUCUCUAAAUAGGAAUCGUAUGUACAUGUUUCGUAUUGUGAUAAAGCACCUAUGCCGCUAGAAAUAGUAGCGCCUUAAAGAAGGCGUUAUUUACAAGAUGGAAUAGUGCUACGUCAUAAGCAGAAAGACCACAAGCCAUAAAUGGGUUACCUAGCCACAUAAUUACAGACAGGGACCCAACUCUUAGGCCAGUCCGAAGGGCAUUGAUGGAACAAACAAAGGUAGAAGAUCUUGAUUCUCUGCAAUUCGGCUUCAACCCGAUGGAGCUCUCUUCAAAACAUAUCUUUCGGCGUCAGUCUUUCCUGCCUUACCUUAACCCCGCUUUCACGUGGCGAUUCGGUAUGAGGUUUCUCUGAUCUGUUUACGGUAUUCUUGAAGCUUUCUUUCUUGGUCACCGGACAGAGUGAGAACUGCUCUGCUUGCUUUCUUUCCCUAGCACACACUUAGUAGAUAGUAGGCACAACUCCGCUAAGAGCUCAUCGAACUUUACUUGUAGAGUGAGACCUGUGCUCGAUAUGGUUCAUUUCAGUGCUCUUUCUCUCGGUAUGGUUCACCACAUGCCUGUGAUCUCUCUCAAGCUAGGUAUCGGAGAAGUCCGUCAUGGAAUUGAAGUGGUAGAGUGGUAAGUGGGCGUACGGUCUAUGUAUUUCUUAUCAGUGGCAUUAGUUCCUUUUCAUUCUCUAGAUAGAUGAACAAGCUUCUCUUUAUAUUAUAGAAUAGAAAGGAUCAAAAGGGCUCUCUCAUCUCCUAUUUGUUUGAGCCAUUCAUUAUAGUGGUGGUGCCGGGAAGGCAGCUUAGCACUCUAGUCCUUUUGAGUAAGGAAUUGUAGCACGGGCAGGCAAGAGACAACCUAGCGAACUGAAACAUCUUAGUAUAGUAUAGUAUAGUAGAGAAUUUGGCGUUGCCACAUAAACAUAUAAGUAAGGUUGUGGACCAACUAUCCGGCAUAGAGGGAAAAAAAAGCAGUGUGCCUUCUACUCAUCGCCCAAUGGGUACUCGACCGACUUCAAUUGGUUCACGAUGUGGUUGAACUCGCUUAUCGGCGAGGUACUUUAGGCCAUUUUGAGGAGCCGACGCAGGGCAGGGCAGGAGAUGAAGUUUGUUUGAACUAAAGGGCGAAAGCUAUAUAUAAAUAUACCGAAAUGAAAGAACUGCUGUUAUUAGCAAUUGAAAGUUGGGGAAAUCGCUCAGUUGGUUAGAGUGCUGGCUCUGGGAAUCCACGGAUCACGCCACACUCGGACAGUUCGCCCAUUGCCAAUAUGCCAGAUGAUGGAUUCCUUGGUUUUAGUUAGUCGCUGCUCUUUCUAUGGCAGUGGUUGAUCCUCUCGUCGUGGGUCGGUUUAGUCAUUAGCUCGAGAGGACAGGGGAGAGAUAGGAGACAAUCUAUGUAACCUUAGCCUACCCCAAUAGUAAGUAUCGGAAAAAGGACUCCUUCUCGAAAGAGAUAGGCAGUCAUCGCAUUAUCUACUUGAUUAUGAUAUUUAUUUUUAUCCAACGGAUAAUGCAAAUCGCCUAUAAAUUAAAGUGAAAGUUCAGUACGAACUGGUAGAGCGAGAGCAGCUAGUUUAGAAGGAAAAGAAAAAGGGCGCCUACUCAGUGGUAAGUUAGGUCAUUCCUUUCCGGCUAUCAGAAAAGAGUAUGAUCGAGGGUCCCAUAAGGCAAAGGGAAGGUGCUCCCCCGACCUACUACCCUCGGAGAGAUUCCUACGGUUGCAAUGGUGAGUUGUGAACUUUGUAGAGCUUCGUUCUAGUUCCAUCAUUUUUCUGCAUUCUUUCUAAAGUGCUAGUUUCCUCUAUUUCUAAUAUCAGAGUAACACGGGAAUUCUCUCUGGGAAUCCGCUCCCCCUGCUUGCUUGUAUUGGGCAUUUGGCAGAGGCAGGUUCUCCAUCAUUAAGAGGCUUCUCACUUUGGUAUCGAUAUGCGUCUGAACUCCUCCACUCUUUCACUAGGGGUACACACAACUCUGGACUUGUGCAGCUAAUAGAUUACUUUCUCAAAACAGCCUAUUUUGGAGGAAAUGCCCAUGGGAAUACGGUUCUUGGGAUACCACAGGGGAGUACCAUCUCACCGGUCCUUAUGAACAGCUUUCCCCACUGAAUCAUUAGAUCACCCGCUUAUGUUCCCUAGUUGUCCAGGUGUGACCUAGUUUGCUUAGUAAGUAUGGAAGGACAAAAGACGAGUACAGAUGACUACUAUUCUCCGGCAGAAAGUCACUCAUUUCCUCUUAAAGGUCCCAAAGAUAUGAGUAAAAAACUCUUCCAAAUCAAAGAUUUGCCUAUUCUUCGUAGUACGAGAAUACUCUUACUUCUCAUUGACACAGACGAGAAAGAAGUAAGUAGAAUAAAGGAAGAAUGUUAGUAUAGUAAAA